rfam:Rattus norvegicus chromosome 3, whole genome shotgun sequence.
GGGGAUUUAGCUCAGUGGUAGAGCGCUUGCCUAGGAAGCGCAAGGCCCUGGGUUCAAUCCCCA